rnacentral:lncRNA from 1 species
GGAUGUGCUAGAGGGUUGGCAAUACAGUCUGCUAUGCACAACCACAAGGAUUAAUGUGUUUCAACCCAAGAACUUGUCCCUGUUUCCUCAGGAAGCUCAGCAUGGUGUCACCUCUUUCCCUUCCUGCAGAAUUUCAGUCUCUUUUCCCUCCCAAAGAGCUCGCCUGCUUCCAGGAGUUCUUGCCUAGCAUCAGCCUUCUCCUCAAGGGACUCAGCGCAAUGCUGCCCCGGUUCCAGGCAGCUCCAUCGGUGUCCCCACAUUUCCAGCAGCACCCGAGAUGGUCGCAAAAAGGACAUGCCCUGGCAGCGCUCAGUGUGGAUGCAAUAAGACGUUUCUUCCAGUGCCACUAGACUCCCUGCUCCAAGCAGCGGAGAGGCAGGUGAAAUGAGCAGACAGCCCUUGGCCCUCUUGGCUUCUGUCUCGGGCCUGCCAAUGGGCCCCCUGGUGCAAUUACUUUCUUUUAUUUUAAAUUUGUAAAGGAAGAGCACGGAAAUGGUUUGACGAACAUAGCCUGCACGAGGCACAAGUGGCUAGGAAAUGCAGACCCUGAUCAGUGCAUUAUGCCUGGGAAUGGAGCCCCAGGGGUGGAAUGGGGGCAGCAGGAGAUUUAAAGGCUGGUGUUCCCAGGGAUGCAGGAGGGUGAUGGAGUUUUGCAGGAGGUCGACAGAAUUUGUGGCUUUUAAACUUUUGAUUGGUUGCUCCACCUGUCCCAGUUCCUGACAACCGUCGCCUUCAUGCUGAUGCAGCAGCGGGGACUCUGAAAGUCUUGUGCGUGCUUUCCUGAUGUGCACAUGGCCACUGGGCCAGAUGGAGCAAAAGGAGACUUCCUUACUAGCGAGUGAGGCAACUUCAGUUCGGCCAGAUUGUACGUUCCCUCUUUCUGGAGAGGGUGGAGGCAGAGAGCCAGUGCAGCAGCUUUCUAACCACAGCGGGAGAGAGACACAGACACACUGUGCUGUCAUCCAGCCCCCCCCACACACACUCACACGCACUCUGGACUUCCAGGCAGAAGGGCGGAGUGAGUCAGAAGAGCCGGACCGAUCGUUCUCGCUUACACAGAGAAUUACGAGCCAGCGUGUUGGUUCAGUAGCGUGGCGUGGAAAGUUGUCUACUAGCAACCUUGAAAGACAGUCUGAGACUCUCUCCUCUUCUUCCCAAGGAGUUGCCGAGCACUCAGGACGCCAGCUGAAUCACUUGAGACUGAGCGACAGGGUGAAUAGUAGCUCCUGGUGAGGACGCACUCCUUCUCACAUCCUCCUUCAGGGAGGAGGAGAAGGAUGGAAGGUGUGAGCAGCCCACACCCGACCGCGCUCACCCUCCCCAAGCACAUCCUUGAUAUCUGGGUCAUUGUGCUGAUCAUCCUGGCCACCAUCAUCAUCAUGACGUCCCUGGUGCUGGGCCCGGCCAUGGCUGUCAUCAUCCACAGGGUGCGGACCCACCCCAUACGCAACAGAGUGGUGUGAAAGCAGAGCUCAGGGCCGGGACGGCCUCCCUAAGACUACCAAGAAAAGACAAUGGGUGAUGGCAACAGUGCCCUCAGCUGACUCCAAGAUAGAGGGUGGGGGACCAAGAGCCAGCAGGGACAUGGCAGGAAGCACAGGCCUCUGCUCUUGGGUGCAGAACUCCCUGUGCAUCACCCAAAUGCGCCCAAGAAAGGAGGGUUAAUCACCCAUUCCGACUGGCAACAAAGCUGUGUCCAGAGUCUGGAUGGGUGAGUCCCCUCAGUGGGUGCAGCGUCCCAGUGUGUCCCUGCCUGGAUGUCCCCUCAUGCGCACCCGUCCAAAUGGCUCCCUUGUAUUUACCCCCAGCGAUGCUCAGAAAUGACGGGGAAGCUGCAGGACCAGGCGCCACAAAGGAAAUGUUAAGCUUCCAAGCACGAAGCUCUUGAAACGGUUUCCAGAUGUUGAGAGACUCGCGCCGUGCCGCCCUCCAUUGCUGCGGGGGCUGGCUGGUGACCCGUGACUCCCCAUAGCAGGAUCUCUCACCUAUAUGCCCCAAGCUCCCCCACCAGGAUCGGGGCUGGCACUGGAGAAGAACAAGGAAAGGGGCUCAAUGAAAGUAAUUUAUAUGCAGGGGGAGGGAUCUAUGAAAGAUGGGGCAAAAACCGGGGUUUACAAAGCAUCAUUAACAGUGAAAGGGCCCAUCGCAGCCGUGCUGUGUAAAGACAGCUAGUCUAGAUCUUGCUAGGCAUGUGGUGUCAUUGUUAACAAUCCCAAACCAUGGAUUUUCCUGUAGCCCCUCUGCUGUUCCUUGCCCGAAGAGGAUUCAGAUAACUCAAGCCUGGAGUGAUCUGGACUGAGGAAUGAAGGGAUGGCACAGGGUUGCACUCCGUGGCUGUGGGCUGGGCCCCAAGCAUGGAAUAGUGGGAGAAAGGCCAGGGUAGGUGCUGCAGGUUGGGACUAGCAAAGAAAGACUUUACCUCGCUGUAGCCCUUGCUUGCCAUCGGUUACGAUUCACAGACACUAAAAUUCAACACUUAAAAGUUUGCAGCUUUCAAAGGGUGAGAAAAAGCUGUGGGGAGAAAGGAAAGGGGAGGGUGUGUGCAAUGUACACAGGGCAAGUGUCAAGUGAAUGUAUUUAUAGGACAUGCUUGAGCAAAAUCACCAUCAUGUAGAUUGUGAUCUUGCACCAGUCCAUGGAAUAAAUUGACUUUAUUGUACACAAGUGGAUGCUGUGAAGUUCCGUCCAUACUAAGGGUAUUUUGGGGCCCGCAGCAUCUCGCUCGUUCCAUAAAUCCUUCCUCGCCCGC